rnacentral:misc_RNA from 1 species
CACUUUUAGUAAUGGAUCUCUUGGCGCUCGCAUCGAUGAAGAACGCAGCGAAAUGCGAUAAGUAAUGUGAAUUGCAGAAUUCAGUGAAUCAUCGAAUCUUUGAACGCACCUUGCACCCUUUGGUAUCCCCACAGGGUAUGCUCGUUUGAGUGUCAUUGUACUCUCACACUUCCAGUCUUUGGAUUGGGAGCGGUGGACUUGGGUGUUGCUGCUUUACCGCGGCUCACCUCAAAUGCAUUAGUGCAUCUCCGGAUUGGACAUAGUACAGCGUGAUAAGUAUCUUCGCUGGCACCUUACUUCAGAGGGUGGCUGAUCCAGAGCUCUGUGCUUUCAAACCGUCUUCAGACAAUGACUGACAGCUUGGCCUCAAAUCGAGUAGGACUACCCGCUGAACUUAAGCAUAUCAAUAAGCGGAGGCU